CCUACGGGUGGCAGCAGUGAGGAAUAUUGGUCAAUGGGCGCGAGCCUGAACCAGCCAAGUCGCGUGAGGGAUGACGGUCCUACGGAUUGUAAACCUCUUUUGCCGGGGAGCAAGCGUGCGUUCGUGAACGCGCGUCGAGAGUACCCGGAGAAAAAGCAUCGGCUAACUCCGUGCCAGCAGCCGCGGUAAUACGGAAGGUCCGGGCGUUAUCCGGAUUUAUUGGGUUUAAAGGGAGCGUAGGCCGGCUUUUAAGUCAGCUGUGAAAGUCCGCGGCUCAACCGUGGAAUUGCAGUUGAAACUGGAGGCCUUGAGUGCACACAGGGAUGCCGGAAUUCAUGGUGUAGCGGUGAAAUGCUUAGAUAUCAUGAAGAACUCCGAUCGCGAAGGCAAGUGUCCGGGGUGCAACUGACGCUGAGGCUCGAAAGUGCGGGUAUCAAACAGGAUUAGAUACCCCUGUAGUC
rnacentral:rRNA from 1 species